UACAGAGAAUGCAAGCGUUAUUCGGAUUCACUGGGCGUAAAGGGUGCGCAGGCGGUCGGGUGUGUCAGAUGUGAGAUCCCGAGGCUCAACCUCGGAACUGCGUCUGAAACUACUCGACUAGAGUACUGGAGAGGGUAACGGAAUUCACGGUGUAGCAGUGAAAUGCGUAGAUAUCGUGAGGAACACCAGAGGCGAAGGCGGUUACCUGGACCGGUUCUGACGCUGAGGCGCGAAAGCGUGGGUAGCAAACAGG
rnacentral:rRNA from 1 species